rnacentral:rRNA from 1 species
CCUACGGGAGGCAGCAGUGGGGAAUAUUGGACAAUGGGGGGAACCCUGAUCCAGCCAUGCCGCGUGUGUGAAGAAGGCCCUCGGGUUGUAAAGCACUUUCAGUGAGGAAGAACGCCUGGUGGUUAAUACCCAUCAGGAAAGACAUCACUCACAGAAGAAGCACCGGCUAACUCCGUGCCAGCAGCCGCGGUAAUACGGAGGGUGCGAGCGUUAAUCGGAAUUACUGGGCGUAAAGCGCGCGUAGGUGGCUUGAUAAGCCGGUUGUGAAAGCCCCGGGCUCAACCUGGGAACGGCAUCCGGAACUGUCAAGCUAGAGUGCAGGAGAGGAAGGUAGAAUUCCAGGUGUAGCGGUGAAAUGCGUAGAGAUCGGGAGGAAUACCAGUGGCGAAGGCGGCCUUCUGGACUGACACUGACACUGAGGUGCGAAAGCGUGGGUAGCAAACAGGAUUAGAUACCCCAGUAGUC